UUAAACCUUCUUUCGUCGCUGCAAAGAGGGUGCAAAUAGGCUUAGCUAAAACAGAACACUGAUACAACGUUUGAAACAAAGAAGCAUCCCAAUAUUUUGUCAUUCAUCGAUGGAGUUAAACCGAGGAAUCAUUCAUUCUACAUCUUAUCAUGCAACAAGAACCCACAAUCCUCUAUUCAAUUUGCGUUGUAGUGAUAAUAUGUGUUAACAAGUAGCAAACUCUUCAGUUUUCACCAUCAAAAUGGCAAUGCCAACACGGAAACUUUGCAAGCAACAACAACAACAACAUUCACAUUCCCUUUCGAUUUUAUCCAACCCAUGUUCCGAUUUUGGUUCAUUCACCGGAGGCAAUGGGGGUUUGUUCCUGGAACCAACAAUUCCCGAUUCCUUCGUUCGAUUCCUGUCUUCGAGGAUUCCGACAACUCAGUCUUCCGAACCCAAUCCUCGCCGGCGUUGUACUGUUCCGGUUGGGUGUUUUAUGUCGGUGAGCUUGCUAGCUGCUAAACUUUCUGCCGACAAGGAGUCUACCUCGGACGGUGUCGUUCAGCUUCCAAAGGUUAGGGUAAGAAGAGGCAAUGCCGUCAAUACCACCAAGCAUCUCUGGGCUGGUGCUGUAGCUGCCAUGGUUUCCAGAACUUGUCUUGCCCCACUUGAAAGACUAAAGCUGGAAUAUAUACUUCGUGGUGAGAAGAAGAAUAUCCUUGAGCUUAUUAGAGCAAUUGCCACUUCUCAAGGGUUGAAGGGCUUUUGGAAAGGGAACCUUGUAAAUAUUCUGCGAACGGCUCCCUUCAAAGCGGUUAAUUUUUGUGCUUAUGAUACCUAUAGAAAACAGCUACUCAGAUUCUCCGGGAAUGAGGAAACUACCAAUUUUGAGAGGUUUAUUGCUGGUGCUUCUGCGGGGAUUACUGCUACUGUUAUAUGCCUGCCACUUGACACUAUCCGAACCAAGCUAGUGGCUCCUGGUGGAGAAGUUUUGGGCGGCGUAGUUGGUGCUUUCCAAUACAUGAUUCGAACUGAAGGGUUCUUUUCUCUUUACAAGGGUCUAGUACCAUCACUGAUAAGCAUGGCUCCUUCUGGUGCAGUUUUCUACAGUGUAUAUGAUAUACUGAAAUCAGCUUAUCUGCAUUCACCAGAAGGAAUGAAGAGAAUCCAGAAUAUGCAUAAACAGGGGCAGGAACUGAGUGCCUUUGAUCAGCUUGAGUUGGGGCCAGUAAGGACAUUGUUGCAUGGGGCUAUUGCUGGUGCAUGUGCAGAAUUUGCUACAUACCCUUUUGAAGUGGUGAGGAGGAACCUUCAAUUGCAAGUGCAGUCUACAAGAUUAAAUACUUUAGCAACUUUUGUCAAAAUAGUGGAACAAGGUGGCAUUCCAGCUCUUUAUGCAGGACUUCUUCCCAGCUUAUUACAGGUACUUCCUUCAGCUUCAAUAAGUUUCUUUGUCUAUGAGUUCAUGAAGAUUGUUCUCAAAGUGGAGUAGGCAAUGAAGAAGAAGCUGUUGCACAAUUAUAAGCUGACAUAUUCUCAGAAUGGUGAAGUUCAACUUCAAAUGGCAACCAUAUUUGAUGUUUUCGUUCGAGGGCGAAACUUGAAAGCAUAAUUCAGGGUUCCAAUCAUAAGAGAGAAAAGGUUUUGUCAAAUCAGGUAAGUAGAGGCCUCACUGUACCGUUUUGUGGGGGCUAUUGCAAACUUGUUCCCGUUCAUGCAAGUUGCAAUUGAGAAAGUUUGUAAGAGCUGAUGUGGUUGUUUAGCAGCGAUCAAAAUGCAUGGCUAUGUACAGGACAUGGAAGUAUUUUGUGAAGUUAUACGCAAGUAUUUGGCUUUUUUAAUUGGGUUUUUGUGUACUAGCAUGUUUGGAUCAAUUUCUCUUUCAUCAGAACCAAUUCUAACCCCCAUAAGCUACACUCACCCGGCUCUAGCUUCUUCAAGAGAGGAAUGUUACUCAGAUAACAUUGCCUUAGGUGGUUGGUGGAAUUCUGAAUCUUCUAUUUGGAAAUGUACGUGGUUGAAUAUUUUGUUAACGCAUAGAUGGUGAAAUUCUGAAUCGUAGGUGGUUGGUGGAAUUCUGAAUCUUCAGCUAGCACAACCGUUUCUGGAUGGACAUUGUUUCUUGGAGGAGCACCGAAAUAACGUGUUCUUAAACUAUCCAUUAUAAGUUUCGAACUUGGUCGUUUUAUGGAAGCGUAUCCUUUGUGGUUGGGGUACACCACAACUUUGAUUCAAUUUGAAGAAUAGGACGGAAAAGGAGCACUAUUUUAUAGAGCUCUCGAUGUGAGCAAUGGUUCUUGAACCUAGUUCAAACCGGCUCUUCGGUUGGUUACAUUGGUAAAAAACAUGCUUAUAUUUUUUCAAGCCAAUUUGACUUGACUCAGUUUACCCAUGAGUCAAGGUGGAUUUUCAUGUAAACUGUUUUUUUUUUAACAUAUCAUUAAAAAAAAUAAAAUGAUAUAAAAAUACAUUUUCUUAUA